AGAAGCGACCUCGCGAGAGCAAGCGGACCUCAUAAAGUGCGUCGUAGUCCGGAUUGGAGUCUGCAACUCGACUCCAUGAAGUCGGAAUCGCUAGUAAUCGUGGAUCAGAAUGCCACGGUGAAUACGUUCCCGGGCCUUGUACACACCGCCCGUCACACCAUGGGAGUGGGUUGCAAAAGAAGUAGGUAGCUUAACCUUCGGGAGGGCGCUUACCACUUUGUGAUUCAUGACUGGGGUGAAGUCGUAACAAGGUAACCGUAGGGGAACCUGCGGUUGGA
rnacentral:rRNA from 1 species